rnacentral:lncRNA from 1 species
GAGGAGCCUCCUCACUGGGUCUGAGCCUGGGCCACUCCCUGGGGACUGCAGCAGCACUGUGAGCUCUCCCACUGGAUGGGAAAGCAGUCAUGGAGGCUCAGUGCUGCCGUCACUUGUUCCUGCAGUUGCACUGAGGUACACUCCCACCCUCUGAACUGCAGCGGUGCUAUGGGCACUCCAGCCAGGAGAGCAGUAGCUUGUGUGCACAGGGCUGCCAGGGGGCCAGAGUACCCAAUUUCCCCAGGGUAGUCCAUCCACCUUCCAGGGUAUAACUGCACAGGCCUCUCAGGCAUCCUGUUGUGCUAUGUGGGUAUCCUCCAAUGAUCAGUGAGUGUCCAUUUAGUUGUCGUUUGAUGGGAGAGAGAUAAAGGGAACAGCUUUCUCUACCAUGUUGCUGACGUCACCCUCCAGGCUUGCUAUUAUUAUUAAAAGGGAGGGCUGAAAAUUCUUUUUCUUAAAAAGUCCCUUGGUUUUUGGAAUUUGUUUCUCACAUAACUGCAGUUAACAAUGCAUACUUGGACAACCUGGGCAGUAUGAAUCACGUCCAGGGGCUUUCUUCCCCUGUCUAAAGCUAUCACUAUCCGUUUUCCCAGUUGUGCUUAAACUCCUUGUGCUCACUUAGCACUCAUACUUCCAUCCCAUAUGGUUUGUUUCUGGGCCUUCCACAAAGACCCUUUCUUUGCCACUUAAAAUCCUGGUGCUGUAGGGUGGAGACAGGGCUCAUUUCAGCACUUAAGGCUUCUUUCCCAUGAAUUAGCGGCACAUUUGUAGCCAUGAUAAGAGGCCCCAAUAACUGCUGAACUUCAGAAUUUGCUUUCAACAGAAUUCUAGGAACAAACAACAUUUUAAAGAUAGUUUUUCACUCAAGUUCGCUCGUUGUUGAGGAGGUAAAGAAACAUUCUUAUAUACUGUUGAUUUUUUAAGGUAAAUUUUUUAUUCGUGUAUAAAGAAAAACUAUAUACCUGAAAUGUGGACAGCUUGAUGAAUUUUCACAAAGGGAAGACACCAUUUAGCCACCACUCACAGCAAGAACUAGAAGAGGAGGGCCAGCUGCGUGGCGUAGUGGUUAAGUCUGGUGUGCUCUGCUUCAGUGGCCUGGGUUUGUGGGUUCAGAUCCUGGGUGCAGCCCUACACCACUUGUCAGGCCAUGCUCUGGGCAGCAAACCACAAACAAAACAGAGGAAGACUGGCACAGAUGUUAGCUCAGGGCUAAUCUUCCUCAAGCGUAAAAAGAGGAAGGUUGGCAAUAGAUGCUAGCUCAGAGUGAAUCUUCCUCACCAAAAAAAAUGAAAGAAAGAAAUAGAACAAGACCAGCAUCCUAGAAGACUGCCUCAUGCCUCUCAGUUAUUAAUCAUCCCCUCACUCCUGCAACUGAAAUCAGUAUCUUGAUCAUCACCACCGAUUUAGUUUUGUCUGUUUUUGAUCUUGAUAUAAAUGAAAUCAUUUAGCCUUUUUUCCCCUCAACAUUGUGUUUGUGGGGUUUGUCCAUGUCGUUGCCUGUACUAAUAGUGUGUUUUCAUGGCUAUACGGCAUUCUGUUGCCUCAGUAUACCACUUUGUAUUCUAUGGAUGGAC